AUACGUAGGGGGCGAGCGUUGUCCGAAAUGAUUGGGCGUAAAGGGCGCGUAGGCGGCGCGGUAAGUCUGGAGUGAAAGUCCUGCUUUCAAGGUGGGAAUUGCUUUGGAUACUGCCGCGCUUGAGUGCAGGAGAGGUUAUCGGAAUUCCCGGUGUAGCGGUGAAAUGCGUAGAGAUCGGGAGGAACACCAGUGGCGAAGGCGGGUAACUGGACUGCAACUGACGCUGAGGCGCGAAAGUGUGGGGAGCAAACAGGAUUAGAUACCCUGGUAGUCCACACUGUAAACGAUGAAUGCUAGGUGUAAGAGGUAUCGACCCCUUUUGUGCCGGAGUCAACACAAUAAGCAUUCCGCCUGGGGAGUACGGCCGCAAGGUUGAAACUCAAAUGAAUUGACGGGG
rnacentral:rRNA from 1 species